UACGGGGGGGGCUAGCGUUGUUCGGAAUUACUGGGCGUAAAGGGCGCGUAGGCGGCCUACUAAGUCGGACGUGAAAUCCCUCGGCUCAACCGGGGAACUGCGUCCGAUACUGGUGGGCUCGAAUCCGGGAGAGGGAUGUGGAAUUCCAGGUGUAGCGGUGAAGUGCGUAGAUAUCUGGAGGAACACCGGUGGCGAAGGCGGCAUCCUGGACCGGUAUUGACGCUGAUGCGCGAAAGCCAGGGGAGCAAACGGG
rnacentral:rRNA from 1 species